AUUCAAGGAAAAAUUGGUGGAUUUCAAGUAAUCAAGCAAUCAAAGUGGUUAGUCCUCCGACAAGGGCAAGGAAAUUGUACCCGAGGAUCGAUAGUUGGAGUACUAUAGAAAUUCGGCUCCUGAAAUAGCUGGGUAGUAUUAAAUUAACCCUGUCAUGCUGUCAAAAUUU